GCUUUUGUGGUGUAAUGGUAGAACACUCGUCACGUAUUCGAGAGGUCCAAGUUCGAGUCCUUGCAAGAGUA
rnacentral:tRNA from 1 species